ACAGCAGUAGCCGCGGGAAUACGUAGGGUGCAAGCGUUAAUCGGAAUUACUGGGCGUAAAGCGUGCGCAGGCGGUUUGUUAAGACAGAUGUGAAAUCCCCGGGCUCAACCUGGGAACUGCAUUUGUGACUGGCAAGCUAGAGUGUGGCAGAGGGGGGUGGAAUUCCGCGUGUAGCAGUGAAAUGCGUAGAUAUGCGGAGGAACACCGAUGGCGAAGGCAGCCCCCUGGGCCAACACUGACGCUCAUGCACGAAAGCGUGGGGAGCAAACAGGAUUAGAUACCCCUGUAGUCCCUGUCUCUUAUAC
rnacentral:rRNA from 1 species